rnacentral:tRNA from 1 species
UCCGAUAUAGUGUAAGNCUAUGACAUCACGCUUUCACCGUGGAGACACGGGGUUCGACUCCCCGUAUCGGAG